rnacentral:rRNA from 1 species
AUUAACAGGUAUAUAGUUAUACAUUCUGUGUAUCGACUAAAUAUACCCAUUCUGAGUACCUUGCCUGUUGCUUCCAUGGAGCCUGACACAUGUCACUCUGGGGAUUUACAUCCCGAGGGAGCCUCCGUGGAAGGUAAUCAAUUAACUCUUGAAUCCAAUGUCAUCUGUCUGAUAAUGUUUAUAACAAAUGUUAAAACUUUCAACAACGGAUCUCUUGGUUCUCGCAUCGAUGAAGAACGCAGCGAAAUGCGAUAAGUAGUGUGAAUUGCAGAAUUCAGUGAAUCAUCGAAUCUUUGAACGCACAUUGCGCCUCCUGGUAUUCCGGGAGGCAUGCCUGUUCGAGCGUCAUUAAAUACCACUCAAGCUCUUCUGCUUGGUCAUGGAAGAAGAGAAUGCUUGCAUCCUCUCUUCUGAAAUCGAACGGCGGACUGCCUCAUGUGCCUCGCGUAGUAAGUUCAUCUUUUCGCUUGGAGUGUGAGAUAGUCUCGCCAUCAACCCCCAUACUUCUAAGGUUGACCUCGGAUCAGGUAGGGAUACCCGCUGAACUUAAGCAUAUCAAUAAGCGGA